AUCCAGACUCCUACGGGAGGCAGCAGUGAGGAAUAUUGGUCAAUGGCCGAGAGGCUGAACCAGCCAAGUCGCGUGAGGGAUGGCGGCCCUACGGGUUGUAAACCUCUUUUGUCGGGGAGCAAAGAGAGUCACGUGUGGCUCAUUGGGAGUACCCGAAGAAAAAGCAUCGGCUAACUCCGUGCCAGCAGCCGCGGUAAUACGGAGGAUGCGAGCGUUAUCCGGAUUUAUUGGGUUUAAAGGGUGCGUAGGCGGGACGGUAAGUCAGCGGUAAAAAUGCGGGCCUCAACCCCGGCGAGCCGUUGAAACUGCCGUUCUUGAGUGAGCGAGAAGUAUGCGGAAUGCGUGGUGUAGCGGUGAAAUGCAUGGAUAUCACGCAGAACUCCGAUUGCGAAGGCAGCAUACCGGCGCUCAACUGACGCUCAUGCACGAAAGUGUGGGUAUCGAACAGGAUUAGAUACCCCGGUAU
rnacentral:rRNA from 1 species